rnacentral:rRNA from 1 species
GACGAACGCUGGCGGCGUGCUUAACACAUGCAAGUCGAACGAUGAACUUGGAGCUUGCUCUGGGGGAUUAGUGGCGAACGGGUGAGUAACACGUGAGUAACCUGCCCUGGACUCUGGAAUAACUUCGAGAAAUCGGAGCUAAUACCGGAUAGGACCUUGCACCGCAUGGUUUGUGGUGGAGAGUUUGUCGGUUUGGGAUGGACUCUCGGCCUAUCAGCUUGUUGGUGCGGUAAUGGCUAACCAAGGCGUCGACGGGUAGCCGGCCUGAGAGGGUGACCGGCCACACUGGGACUGAGACACGACCCAGACUCCUACGGGAGGCAGCAGUGGGGAAUAUUGCACAAUGGGCGCAAGCCUGAUGCAGCAACGCCGCGUGCGGGAUGACGGCCUUCGGGUUGUAAACCGCUUUUAGUAGGGAAGAAGCCUUCGGGUGACGGUACCUGCAGAAAAAGGACCGGCUAACUACGUGCCAGCAGCCGCGGUAAAAC